rnacentral:rRNA from 1 species
AGUGAACGCUGGCGGUAGGCCUAACACAUGCAAGUCGAACGGCAGCACAGUAAGAGCUUGCUCUUACGGGUGGCGAGUGGCGGACGGGUGAGGAAUACAUCGGAAUCUACUUUUUCGUGGGGGAUAACGUAGGGAAACUUACGCUAAUACCGCAUACGACCUACGGGUGAAAGCAGGGGAUCUUCGGACCUUGCGCGAUUGAAUGAGCCGAUGUCGGAUUAGCUAGUUGGCGGGGUAAAGGCCCACCAAGGCGACGAUCCGUAGCUGGUCUGAGAGGAUGAUCAGCCGCACUGGAACUGAGACACGGUCCAGACUACUACGGGAGGCAGCAGUGGGGAAUAUUGGACAAUGGGCGCAAACCUGAUCCAGCCAUACCGCGUGUGUGAAGAAGGCCUUCGGGUUGUAAAGCCCUUUUGUUGGGAAAGAAAAGCAGCAGGUUAAUACCCCGCUGUUCUGACGGUACCCAAAGAAUAAGCACCGGCUAACUUCGUG